UUCAACCCUCAAGCUCUGCUUGGUAUUGGGCCCUGCCGCGCUGGGCAGGCCUUAAAAUCAGUGGCGGUGCCGUCGCGGCUCCAGGCGUAGUACAUCUCUCGCUCCGGAGGCCCGGUGGUGUCUUGCCAGACAACCCCCAAAUUGUCUUCUAU
rnacentral:misc_RNA from 1 species